rnacentral:rRNA from 1 species
AGAGUUUGAUCAUGGCUCAGGACGAACGCUGGCGGCGUGCUUAAUACAUGCAAGUCGAGCGAGGUUACUGUUUCGGAUCCCUUCGGGGUGAAGAAGCUUUAACCUAGCGGCGGACGGGUGAGUAACGCGUGGGUAACCUACCCCAAAGUCCGGGAUAACAGCGGGAAACCGCUGCUAAUACCGGAUGCCUUUACCUUGGGGCAUCUUGAGGUAAAGAAAGGUAACGCUUUGGGAUGGGCCCGCGUCCCAUUAGCUAGUUGGUGAGGUAACGGCUCACCAAGGCGACGAUGGGUAGCCGGCCUGAGAGGGUGGACGGCCACACUGGGACUGAGACACGGCCCAGACUCCUACGGGAGGCAGCAGUAGGGAAUAUUGCGCAAUGGACGGAAGUCUGACGCAGCGACGCCGCGUGAGCGAUGAAGGUCUUCGGAUCGUAAAGCUCUGUCCUUGGGGAAGAAGGUCUUCGGACUUGACGGUACCCAAGAAGAAAGCCCCGGCUAACUACGUGCCAGCAGCCGCGGUAAUACGUAGGGGGCGAGCGUUGUCCGGAAUUACUGGGCGUAAAGGGUGCGUAGGCGGCCCUUUAAGUCGGAUGUGAAAGCCCGCGGCUUAACCGCGGAAUGGCAUUCGAAACUGGAGGGCUUGAGUGUCGGAGAGGGUAGUGGAAUUCCCAGUGUAGCGGUGAAAUGCGUAGAUAUUGGGAGGAACACCAGUGGCGAAGGCGACUACCUGGACGAUAACUGACGCUGAGGCACGAAAGCUAGGGGAGCAAACAGGAUUAGAUACCCUGGUAGUCCUAGCCGUAAACGAUGGGUACUAGGUGUGGGUGGUUUCGAUACCAUCCGUGCCGUAGUUAACGCAUUAAGUACCCCGCCUGGGGAGUACGUGCGCAAGCAUGAAACUCAAAUGAAUUGACGG